GUCUAUGGCCAUACCACCCUGAACGCGCCCGAUCUUGUCUGAUCUGGAAGCUAAGCAGGGCCGGACCUGGUUAGUACUUGGAUGGGAUAAAAACAAGUCAUUUUUCACA
ensembl:rRNA 5S_rRNA 5S ribosomal RNA